UACAGAGAGGGCGCAGCGUUAUCCAUCGGAACUGGGCGUAAAGGGUGCGUAGGCGGACAUUACUUAGAAAACUUGAUAGCAAUGUUUGUGUAUCGACACAAAGCUUAUCUCGUAAAGUUUGUCUAUUGAGAUAUGAGUAGGUUAUUGGAAAGCGAUGUUGAAAAGGACCACAAGUUCAAAAAUAUCGAGUAACACCAAUGGCGAAGGCAGAUAACCGGCCGUAAUCUGACGCUGAGGCACGAAACUUGUGGUAGCGAGAGGG
rnacentral:rRNA from 1 species